rnacentral:rRNA from 1 species
AACUUUCAACAACGGAUCUCUUGGUUCUGGCAUCGAUGAAGAACGCAGCGAAAUGCGAUAAGUAAUGUGAAUUGCAGAAUUUUGUGAAUCAUCGAAUCUUUGAACGCACAUUGCACCUUUUGGUAUUCCGAAAGGUAUUCUUGUUCGAGCGUCGUUU